rnacentral:misc_RNA from 1 species
UUUUUUAUUUUUUUUUUUUACUUUUUUUUUUCUAUUUCUCUCUGGAUUUCUGGGUUUCUGGGUUAACUCUCUGAUUGGUGGCUCUUCUUUUACCUAAAUGGACUCUGGAUUGAUUCUGAUGAUUUUUCACUUUGCUUCUCUUAACCUAUAUAAAAUAAGUUUCUGGGUUUUCGCUUUGGGUUUUGCGAAAAAACUGGGCUAAAUGGAUAAUAGAUUGUGCUGCAUGAGCUUCACAUUGACCACUUCACUUCACAUAUACCUGUCUUGUUAAUGCAAAUUCCUUUUUUGCUUUUUUAAAUUAACAUACACUUGGGCAUAAAUAGAUUGUGUUGGUUAGGAUGUGAAGAUCAAUUAGGUUCGUGUUUUAAGGGAUGAGGAUUUCGCGAAGGAAUUGUUGUGCAAUUUGUUAUUCUAUCUUGUUAUGUUGGUUGAAUCUUCUACUUGUAUUAUUUACUGUUGCUUCCUUCUAGCUGAAUUAAGUAUUCUAGAGGAAGAGAUAUUAGAUGGAAGUAUUCUGUAUUUUGAAUUAUGUACUUCAGACUGUAAUUUUAUUUAAUAUUUAUUUUUCUUAUUAUAAUUUAUAAAUUAUAAUUUUUAAUGAUCAUGUUUAUUUAAAUUUUUAAAGAUUAUCAUUGUUUAUUUAAUUUUUCAAAGAUGAUCUUUCAAUAUUUAAAUUUUAGUGGUGUGAUGGAUUAUUGUUUUUCAGUUCAGUUCACUCGAAUUAGUCUACAAAAGCUUAUUCCUUUAGUUUAGGGAGUGGUAUUGCUAGGUGGCAUCAAUGAGAUCAAAAGAAUCAUUAUUUAGCAAAUAUGCAUUCGUCACCUGGCCGACCAACCUAAUAACUUUCUACAUCGGGUUGGGUCAGUUUUCUCGACAUUCUCAAAUUAAUUUGUUAAAGAUGGUUGAGGUCGGUUUGGAUUAAAUUUUCAUCCAAACCUACUUGUCAACAGCCCUAAUAACAAGUAACAAACAUGGAACAGCUAAUUUAAAUCAUAUGCGUAUGAUCAAUUAAGAAAGUUGAGAAACG